UGUAUCUCAAUUAACAAUGACAGUAUUGGCCUUUUCCAAAUAUUAUUAAUGUAACUGCUCUGAUCAUGAGUUCUACUCCUAAUUUCAUUGAUCAAUGGCAAAGCUUUAUAGACUAUUCUAAUCAUGAUGUCUAUCUUCAAGCCCAAAAAAUUUAAACACAGUCCGAACCAAAGAAGGAGCAGGCAAAACCUGGACCUGAAUCCCAAGGAGAUGGUAAAGACGGCCUUGGUUGUGGAGAGCAUUGUGAGGCCUUAACUCAGACCUGCAACCUGAGACCAUGUAGAGUCUGUUGGACAUCAGGACACCACCCGAUUCAAAAGCAACUGCUUUGUUGAUAACACGAUUGCUUUACAGAUUUUGAAAUCUAAGAACAGGGGAAUGACUAAUUAUUUUUCUCUCUCUAUCAUAGAUGGACUAUGUUCUUGAUGCAAAACGACCUCACAAUGAGCUGAUAAUCAAAGAUGGUCAAACUUGCCUCACCAGGGAGAAUUUCCUAACUUUAGGACUGCAGAAGGAUUUGGAUUCAGUGGCUGGAAAUGCAUGCUUGCAGCUUGUGCAGAAGAUGACACAGAUGCAAGUAAGUUUUGCAUGGACAUAAAUAUGUCUAACAUCUUCACUCACAUUACAGUGUUUA
ensembl:lncRNA